rnacentral:rRNA from 1 species
AUAGCGUAUAUUAAAGUUGUUGCAGUUAAAAAGCUCGUAGUUGAACCUUGGGCCUGGCUGUCCGGUCCGCCUCAUGGCGUGCACUGGUUCGGCUGGGUCUUUCCUUCUGGCAAACCGCAUGCCCUUCGUUGAGUGUGUUGGGGAACCAGGACUUUUACUUUGAAAAAAUUAGAGUGUUCAAAGCAGGCAUAUGCUCGAAUACAUUAGCAUGGAAUAAUAGAAUAGGACGUGCGGUUCUAUUUUGUUGGUUUCUAGGACUGCCGUAAUGAUUAAUAGGGAUAGUCGGGGGCAUCCGUAUUCAAUUGUCAGAGGUGAAAUUCUUGGAUUUAUUGAAGACGAACUACUG